UCAAACUUGGUCAUUUAGAGGAAGUAAAAGUCGUAACAAGGUUUCCGUAGGUGAACCUGCGGAAGGAUCAUUAAUGAGGUUGGAGGGGGGUAGACUUUUGUCUACUUCUCUUUUUCUCUUCACUCUUGUGUAUGUUUCUUUAUCUCAGUUGCUUUGGUAGGCUUUCUUAGGAGAGCCUACCAAGGGAAAAUACCAAAAAAAUCUUUUUUUAUUUCUUCUUUAUCAGUCUGAAUUAUUUUAUUUUAAAUAAAAAUAAAACUUUCAACAAUGGAUCUCUUGGUUCUGGCAUCGAUGAAGAACGCAGC
rnacentral:misc_RNA from 1 species